GACGAACGCUGGCGGCGUGCCUAAUACAUGCAAGUAGGACGCAGUUGCGAACGGUUGAGUAACGCGCAGGUAACUGCCUAUUAGAGGGGGAUAACUAUUGGAAACGUUAGCUAAUACCGCAUACUAGCAUAUGGACUUUCGUUGUAUUAGCUAGUUGGUAGGGUAAUGGCCUACCUAGGCGACGAUACAUAGCCGAACAGAGAUGGUGAUCGGCCACACUGGGACUGAGACACGGCGCAGAGUCCUACAGGAGGAAGCAGUGGGGAAGCUGCGGCGAUGGGGGGAACCCUGACCGAGCGACGCCGCGUGAGUGAAGAAGGUUUUAGGAUCGUAAGGCUCUGUUGUUAAGGAAGCGGUACUUAACCAGAAAGGGACGGCUAACUACGUGCCAGCAGCCGCGGUAAUAC
rnacentral:rRNA from 1 species